AUAUAUAGUCCGGCUGGGAUACUAUCGAUAAUACUAAAAACUUGGUGCUAUCGAGUUUUCCACGCCAUUAGAUUUAAUUCGUCGACUAUUUUCAUCCAUUAGAUUAUACUAUUCAACCAACAACUUAUUCAACCCUAGGGGGCCCACAUCAUCCUAACAGUAUAUUUCUUCAUCCAAGUGACGAAAAUUUAAUAGCACCAACAGCUUGAUGCUAUUGAUAGCAUUCCAGCCAAAUUAUAUAUAGAGAGAGAGAGUUGAGCUGGAAUACUAUUGGUAGCAAACGGGCUCCAUUGCCACCCAUUUGUUUUCGAUGACGGAGUCUUCAAAUCGACGAUUGGUACCAUUGAAUAUGAUCUAUACCAUUUGAAAUAUCUAGAAACCAAAUUUCAUACUUUUUCGAUAUUGUUCACUUGUUCAUCAAGUGGACGCAAAAAUGAACGGUUGAAAAUAAAAAUCUUUAAAAAGUGAUAAUAGGAGUCUUGUAAUUAAGAUCAAGAGGAUAGAUCUUGUUCUAAAUAGUUUAAAAAAUUUUCUAACAAAAAUUCAAUUAAUUUGGAUAUUUUUACGUCGUUAAAUGAGAAAAUGCUUCAUAUCGACUAUUAAAAAAUUACAAAUUUUGAAACCCUUU
rnacentral:lncRNA from 1 species